rnacentral:tRNA from 2 species
GUACCCAUAGCUUAACGGUUAAAGCUCUAGUCUGUGGAACUAGCGAUGUGGGUUCAAUUCCCGCUGGGUACCCCA